UGUAGGCUGGUUUUCCAGGCAAAUCCGGAAAAUCAAGGCUGAGGCGUGAUGACGAGGCACUACGGUGAUGAAGCAACAAAUGCCCUGCUUCCAGGAAAAGCCUCUAAGCAUCAGGUAACAUCAAAUCGUACCCAAACCGACACAGGUGGUCAGGUAGAGAAUACCAAGGCGCUUGAGAGAACUCGGGUGAAGGAACUAGGCAAAAUGGUGCCGUAACUUCGGGAGAAGGCACGCUGAUAUGUAGGUGAGGUCCCUCGCGGAUGGAGCUGAAAUCGGUCGAAGAUACCAGCUGGCUGCAACUGUUUAUUAAAAACACAGCACUGUGCAAACACGAAAGUGGACGUAUACGGUGUGACGCCUGCCCGGUGCCGGAAGGUUAAUUGAUGGGGUUAGCGCAAGCGAAGCUCUUGAUCGAAGCCCCGGUAAACGGCGGCCGUAACUAUAACGGUCCAGGUAGCGAAAUUCCUUGUCGGGUAAGUUCCGACCUGCACGAAUGGCGUAAUGAUGGCCAGGCUCUCCCGAGACUCAGUGAAUUGAACUCGCUGUGAAGAUGCAGUGUACCCGCGGCAAGACGGAAAGACCCGUGAACCUUUACUAUAGCUUGACACUGAACAUUGAGCCUUGAUGUGUAGGAUAGGUGGGAGGCUUUGAAGUGUGGACGCCAGUCUGCAUGGAGCCGACCUUGAAAUACCACCCUUUAAUGUUUGAUGUUCUAGCGUUGACCCGUAAUCCGGGUUGCGGACAGUGUCUGGUGGUAGUUUGACUGGGGCGGUCUCCUCCUAAAGAGUAACGGAGGAGCACGAAGGUUGGCUAAUCCUGGUCGGACAUCAGGAGGUUAGUGCAAUGGCAUAAAGCCAGCUUGACUGCGAGCAUGACGGCGCGAGCAGGUGCGAAAGCAGGUCAUAGUGAUCCGGUGGUUCUGAAUGGAAGGGCCAUCGCUCAACGGAUAAAAGGUACCCGGGGAUAACAGGCUGAUACCGCCCAAGAGUUCAUAUCGACGGCGGUGUUUGGCACCUCGAUGUCGGCUCAUCACAUCCUGGGGCCUGAAGUAGGUCCCAAGGGAUGGCUGUUCGCCAUUUAAAGUGGUACGCGAGCUGGGUUUUAGAACGUCGUGAGACAGUUCGGUCCCCUAUCUGCCGUGGGCGCUGGAGAACUGAGGGGGCUGCUCCUAGUACGAGAGGACCGGAGUGGACGCAUCACUGGUGUUCGGGUUGUCGCGCCACGGCACUGCCCGGUAGCUAAAUGCGGAAGAGAUAAGUGCUGAAAGCGUCUAAGCACGAAACUUGCCCCGAGAUGAGUUCUCCCUGACUCCUUGAGAGUCCUGAAGGAACGUUGAAGACGACGACGUUGAUAGGCCGGGUGUGUAAGCGCAGCGAUGCGUUGAGCUAACCGGUACUAAUGAACCGNUGA
rnacentral:rRNA from 1 species